GAUGAACGCUGGCGGCGUGCUUAACACAUGCAAGUCGAACGGUGAAGGCGGAGCUUGCUCUGCUGGAUCAGUGGCGAACGGGUGAGUACACGUGAGCAAUCUGCCCCUGACUCUGGGAUAAGCGCUGGAAACGGCGUCUAAUACUGGAUACGAGCUGCGAAGGCAUCUUCAGCAGCUGGAAAGAAUUUCGGUCAGGGAUGAGCUCGCGGCCUAUCAGCUUGUUGGUGAGGUAAUGGCUCACCAAGGCGUCGACGGGUAGCCGGCCUGAGAGGGUGACCGGCCACACUGGGACUGAGACACGGCCCAGACUCCUACGGGAGGCAGCAGUGGGGAAUAUUGCACAAUGGGCGAAAGCCUGAUGCAGCAACGCCGCGUGAGGGACGACGGCCUUCGGGUUGUAAACCUCUUUUAGCAGGGAAGAAGCGAAAGUGACGGUACCUGCAGAAAAAGCGCCGGCUAACUACGUG
rnacentral:rRNA from 1 species